GGCCAGUUAUGAUACAAAAAAUAGGCUUUGGUGCCAGAACCAACUCAAGGUCUCAAUAUCUCCUCUGAAUAUGAGGCCAUGCUCUGGAAGGGAAGGUCCCGAAUCAGGGUUGGAAAAAACAGUGCUCUCUCCCCUGAUGCCCUGGAUACCAUUCAGAGGAAACAUCAUUGACUGUGCCUGAAGCUUGCUAGGAGCUAGGAGCUCCACAGAAAUGAUGGAAUGAAGAGCCUUCUGCUAUGCCUGGGAGGAGCCACAGUUGCAGCCAGGGAUUCCCCAGAUCCUUGGGAUAUAUCUUCUGGUUGAAGUCCCCCCAAGGCAGUGGACACAG